AUUCGCCUACGGGAGGCAGCAGUGGGGAAUAUUGGGCAAUGGGCGCAAGCCUGACCCAGCAACGCCGCGUGAAGGAAGAAGGCUUUCGGGUUGUAAACUUCUUUUCUCAGGGACGAAGAAAGUGACGGUACCUGAGGAAUAAGCCACGGCUAACUACGUGCCAGCAGCCGCGGUAAUACGUAGGUGGCAAGCGUUAUCCGGAUUUAUUGGGUGUAAAGGGCGUGUAGGCGGGAGCGCAAGUCAGAUGUGAAAACUAAGGGAUCAACCCUGAGCCUGCAUUUGAAACUGGGUUUCUU
rnacentral:rRNA from 1 species